AUUGAACGCUGGCGGCAUGCUUUACACAUGCAAGUCGAACGGUAACAGGCCUUCGGGUGCUGACGAGUGGCGAACGGGUGAGUAAUGCAUCGGAACGUACCCAGAGGUGGGGGAUAACGCAGCGAAAGCUGUGCUAAUACCGCAUGUGAUCUGAGGAUGAAAGCGGGGGACCGAGCAGCAAUGUUUGGCCUCGCGCCUUUGGAGCGGCCGAUGUCGGAUUAGCUAGUUGGUGGGGUAAAGGCCUACCAAGGCGACGAUCCGUAGCUGGUCUGAGAGGACGACCAGCCACACUGGGACUGAGACACGGCCCAGACCCCUACGGGAGGCAGCAGUGGGGAAUUUUGGACAAUGGGCGCAAGCCUGAUCAAGCAAUGCCGCGUGCGGGAAGAAGGCCUUCGGGUUGUAAACCGCUUUUGGCAGGAACGAAACGGUGUCCGCUAAUACCGGGCGCUAAUGACGGUACCUGCAGAAUAAGCACCGGCUAACUACGUG
rnacentral:rRNA from 1 species